rnacentral:rRNA from 1 species
CCCCUAGAUGUUCUGGGCCGCACGCGCGCUACACUGAACAGUUCAACAAGUCUUAACCUUGGCCGAUAGGUCUGGGUAAUCUUUGAACGCUGUUCGUGAUUGGGAUAGACCUUUGCAAUUAUGGGUCUUCAACGAGGAAUUCCUAGUAAACGCAAGUCAUCAGCUUGCAUUGAUUACGUCCUUGCCCUUUGUACACACCGCCCGUCGCACCUACCGAUUGAAUGGUCCGGUGAAAUCUCGGGACGGCGGCUUGGUCGCUUGCGUCCGACUGCUGAAACUUGAUUAAACCAUAUCAUUUAGAGGAAGGUGAAGUCGUAACA